CACGUAGGGUGCGAGCGUUGUCCGGAAUUAUUGGGCGUAAAGAGCUCGUAGGCGGUGUGUCGCGUCGGCCGUGAAAACCUGCAGCUUAACUGUGGGCUUGCGGUCGAUACGGGCACCACUGGAGUUCGGCAGGGGAGACUGGAAUUCCUGGUGUAGCGGUGAAAUGCGCAGAUAUCAGGAGGAACACCGAUGGCGAAGGCAGGCUCGCUGGGACGGUGAACUGACGCUGAGGCACGAAGGCCAGGGGAGCAAACGGG
rnacentral:rRNA from 1 species